CCUACGGGUGGCAGCAGUGGGGAAUAUUGGACAAUGGGGGGAACCCUGAUCCAGCCAUGCCGCGUGUGUGAAGAAGGCCCUCGGGUUGUAAAGCACUUUCAGUGAGGAAGAACGCCUGGUGGUUAAUACCCAUCAGGAAAGACAUCACUCACAGAAGAAGCACCGGCUAACUCCGUGCCAGCAGCCGCGGUAAUACGGAGGGUGCGAGCGUUAAUCGGAAUUACUGGGCGUAAAGCGCGCGUAGGUGGCUUGAUAAGCCGGUUGUGAAAGCCCCGGGCUCAACCUGGGAACGGCAUCCGGAACUGUCAAGCUAGAGUGCAGGAGAGGAUGGUAGAAUUCCCGGUGUAGCGGUGAAAUGCGUAGAGAUCGGGAGGAAUACCAGUGGCGAAGGCGGCCUUCUGGACUGACACUGACACUGAGGUGCGAAAGCGUGGGUAGCAAACAGGAUUAGAUACCCCUGUAGUC
rnacentral:rRNA from 1 species